rnacentral:rRNA from 1 species
AUGGGGUCCUGUUCAACCACCCCUCGACGGGCUACUGUUCAUCUAGUCCUCCACCGGCUACUGUUCAACUAG